rnacentral:rRNA from 1 species
AAAAUUUUAAAGGUCGAACAGACCUAAUUUUUUAGCUUUUACACCAAAAAUUAAUUUUAAUCCAACAUCGAGGUCGCAACCUUUUUUUUCGAUUUGAACUUUAAAAAAAAAUUACG